AAGAAAUUGAGAGAACCAUUUUGACCAAACGGGAACACUGAUUGAAGAUUACUUUCAGCUAAGAUAUAACGAGGAUUAACAAAACAAUAAUUGAAAAGCAUAAUCAGAUUCAAAAGGCUUGAUCCAGGUACAACUUGAAACUCAAGAAAUUAUAUGUUUAUCCUGAAUGAUGAUGCUUUUAACAAUACAGUAUUCUAACACCCUUCCCCUUUUCCACAGCACCAGAAAUUUCCAACACGUUAAGUAAACUAGCAAUGCUCUUCGCAUUUGCUACAGUAUACAUACAAGAAUCAAAAGUGAUUUCAUGCUC
rnacentral:lncRNA from 1 species